rnacentral:rRNA from 1 species
GGGUUGUGAGGUUAAGCGACUAAGCGUACACGGUGGAUGCCCUGGCAGUCAGAGGCGAUGAAGGGCGUGCUAAUCUGCGAUAAGCGCCGGUAAGGUGAUAUGAACCGUUAUAACCGGCGAUACCCGAAUGGGGAAACCCAGUGUGACUCGUCACACUAUCAUUAACUGAAUCCAUAGGUUAAUGAGGCGAACCGGGGGAACUGAAACAUCUAAGUACCCCGAGGAAAAGAAAUCAACCGAGAUUCCCCCAGUAGCGGCGAGCGAACGGGGAGGAGCCCAGAGCCUGAAUCAGCAUGUGUGUUAGUGGAAGCGUCUGGAAAGGCGCGCGAUACAGGGUGACAGCCCCGUACACAAAAGCGCAUGUGCUGUGAGCUCGAUGAGUAGGGCGGGACACGUGGUAUCCUGUCUGAAUAUGGGGGGACCAUCCUCCAAGGCUAAAUACUCCUGACUGACCGAUAGUGAACCAGUACCGUGAGGGAAAGGCGAAAAGAACCCCGGCGAGGGGAGUGAAAAAGAACCUGAAACCGUGUACGUACAAGCAGUGGGAGCACCCUUUGGGGUGUGACUGCGUACCUUUUGUAUAAUGGGUCAGCGACUUAUAUUCUGUAGCAAGGUUAACCGAAUAGGGGAGCCGGAGGGAAACCGAGU